UGUAGUUUCUAAAUAUAUUGGUAUAUUUCUCAUAAUUAGAAGUUGGCAGUGUAGAAUUUUGGAUACACCCUGGGUUUUUUUGGGAUGGGGAACACACUGAUUUUAAAAAUGUAAUCGUUGAAUAGGUGAAAAUAGCUUAUUACCAUAUUUGACAGUGCUUACAGUGAGUAAACUUUGGUGACCAUAUCUACCUGACAGCUGAGGUCCAGAGCUUUCUAUAACAGCUGGUCCUAUGCCAUGACAAGACCUACACACAACCCUAUAUG